UGUGAUUCCAGGACGACUUCCUGUAAACACACUGAGAGAUUUGUGUGCUUUGAGGUUCAGCUUGAUUCAACAUCAUUUCCCACUGCUUUAGGACUUUGUUGCUGCUGGGAACGGAGCGGUAGGGGAGAGAGACAUAGAGAGAGAGACGGAGAGAGAGACAGACGGAGGAAAAAGGGCUUCCCACUAACAUGUACAUCAAAAGCCUUUUGGUUCUCUCUAUCGCUUUAUUUUUAUUUGGUGUCAGCACUUCACAGUGAGCGCGGUAUGGAAAUGCGUUUGGCUGCCUGGAAAGCUGUCAGGAAACACACACAACUCAGUUGCACGGAGGACAUUUCUGGAUUUCUGGAUUCCUUUGUGUUCAUGGAGUGAGGAGGGACACGAGCAGCAGGUGUGUAGGUGGGACGAGACAAACAUUUAUAACCUGAGCAUCUCUCCGAGGAACCCUUCCUCUCUUCUCGGGCUUCUCUUUCCUUCUGUCUGAAUCAUAAAGAUCUGGCCGGACGAUCAGACAGUCUCUUCAUGAGGUUAUAAAGUCUUGUUAUCCUGAGGCUGAACUGUCACCACUGUUGUUGUGGUGAUGGUGGUGGCAGCGGUGGCCGUUUUUUCUGCAGAUCUUAUUGGCUGCUCAUAGGGGCCCAUAAAGAUGAGUUCUGAAGACCCAUAAAGAUGCGUUUCAUCUCCAUAGCUGGCUUACGGGCUGAUAGACAGAUAAAUAAAGAGAGACAGAGAGAGAGAGAGAGAGAGAGAGAGAGAGAGAGAUCCCCAGGCCACCUUCACUUUAAUGUUGGUCUGAAGGGAGGGAGGCAGCCAUCAUAUCUCUGAUCAGAAAAGGAAAUGAUCAAGAAGGCAUUAGCUUAACCAUUUGUCCACAGAGAAUAAAUGUUCUACUAAACCAUUUUUAAAAAUCAAUUAUACAUUGAUUAUGCAAUAUCUGAUUCAUAAAAAUCCAUUAUAUUCAGGCUAAGUCAAGCAUCACUCAUACUUAGGAUUUAGGAGUUUGUUCAAAUGACUUAAUUUAGUGCAUAAUUCAUUAUGUAAUAUUUUAACAACCACUAACAACAGUCUAGCAUUGUGGAAGUAAGUUUUGCAUGAAGUUCAGACAAAACUGCUUUAAAUCUAAUUCUAGAUUGCAAUGAUAAACUAAUAGAAUGUAAUUUAAGAUAAUAUUACAAAUAAUAUGUAAAACAACAUAGA
ensembl:lncRNA